rnacentral:sRNA from 1 species
UGGUAAUAAUUACCUCGUAACACUCCAAC